UCAGUCUAGGAAUUGAGGAUGAUGACAACAGGUGGACUUCAGACUACUUCUAGAGUUGCAUUUCUGGUUUCAUGAAGGUUUCAGCUGAGACAAGCAGUAAAUAAUUCUCGUGGUAUUAAACAAUUCCAAGGACUCAGUAGAGUGCGAAGGUCAUUACUCUCCAGCAUCAUCCCCUCUGAUAGCCAAAAAGAAAGAACUGACAGAGAAGAAGUGCUCCUGGCCAGUCAUAAUAUCCAUUACCUUAAAACAUUCAGGUAGAGAUCUGGGAGUAUGACUUGGCAAGAAUCCUUACGUUUGCUGGCUCAUGUGAGAGGUCCCAGGAUUUUUCUACUGCAGCAGCUUUGGGGUGAGCUGUGCCCAGCCAGUGAGGUGCCCUGCUCACAUGCCAACUGUGGAGGAAGAAGAAACUUUCCUCUAACAUUGGACAAUGGAGAGACAGGCUUGCUGCUGUUGGCGGGUAGCCCAGAUCUGUUCCGGGUGACUUGAAUGACUUUGAAUGGCAAAUCUACACUGAUACACAACUUGAGCCAUGUUUAUGUAAAACCGCUGGGCUUCCAAAUUUAUCUUCAAAUUUGUCAGCACACCUAUGUGUUUAUUUUCCAGCUGUCAGAAAAUGGCUCUCCUCCAACCCUCCUUGCUUUAUGGGAACUAUUAAGAGCACUUUGUUAGUGAGAACGCCUUAUGUGCUUGUUUCCCAAAACAACCCUGGAGUGCACAUGUGGCAGUAGCAUUAUUAGGAUUAUCACGGGGUACUGGGUGAGAGGUGCCCCAAGGAAUGUAGGAGAAAACCCCCAUAACCCUUGGUUGGGGCAUGGGGGAAGCAGACAAUACAGCUGAAGAUAUUUUUGUAACAAAGGCUAGUCUAAUAGCUGUGCUACCAUCUCGGGACAAGACGAGUAUGACUUUUAGACUGUAUAUAUAGCAAGGGAGGUAGAGGCCCCUGGAUCACUGAGUCAUGCUUCCCCUGAAUGGGGAUAGAAAGCAAGUGAAUGUAAACUAUACAGAAAACGGCAAAUGUAGCUCAUUAUGGGAGGAGUUGGAGAUGAGGUCACGCAGGAGGAUCUGGGUCAGGAUUUAAACUAAGGGUGAGCGGCCAUAAGGGGAUUUGGCCAUGAGGCUUGAAAGGGAGUAGAAGAGCUAUGAAGGAGGAAUGAUAUAGCAGCCACGUGAGAGGGAAAAGUAAGCAAGCAACUAUGUAGUUUGCAGUCAGGAUCCGGCCAUGCGGCCUGGUGUAGUAAGGAAGGAAACAUAUUGCUGCUCUGAUUGUGCCUGCUCUAGCUGACUCUGAACUCUCCCUUGCAAGACACUGACACUGCUACUUUGCAAGCCUGGACUCUCUCUCUGGACUCUCAGGACUUAUGUCUUUCUGGAACCAGUGGACCAUGGCACAUGCUUUCCUGGGC